CCCUUAGAUGUUCUGGGACGCACGCGCGCUACACUGUUCGACGCAGCGAGUCUUAACCUUGACCGAAAGGUUUGGGUAAUCUUCAGCAAAGUCGAACGUGAUGGGGAUCGAUCAUUGCAAUUAUUGAUCGUGAACGAGGAAUUCCUAGUAAGUGCAAGUCAUCAGCUUGCGCUGAUUACGUCCCUGCCCUUUGUACACACCGCCCGUCGCUACUACCGAUUGAAUGGUUUAGUGAGAUCUCUGGAUUGACGCUGGCUAGGGGGCGACCCUUGGCCAGACUGUUGAGAAACUGCUCAAACUUGAUCAUUUAGAGGAAGUAAAAGUCGUAACA
rnacentral:rRNA from 1 species